GCCCAGGCUGGCCUCGAACUCACAGAGAUCCGCCUGCCUCUGCCUCCCGAGUGCUGGGAUUAAAGGCGUGCGCCACCACCGCCCGGCUCAGGAUACACUUUUAAAAACAUUCUUAUUGUGAGAAAUCACAUGCCGGUAUAUAAGUCACAAAGGUGGUUUCUAACCAAUUACUGUAAAGUGGAUGUCAGUGUAACCAAAGCACAAAGCGAGAGCCUGGGUGGGCAGCGCUCGGGGCACCUGCGUGCCCCUGCUCCAUCCCAGCCUGUCCACGGACCCCUCCCCUCGGCUGAUCUUCUCGUCCUACUCCAGGAAGCAAGUUAUACAAACAAGAGCCACAUUUCCCAGACUCACCUGCUGCUGGGAGUAGGCACAGACCGUGACAACAGUGGAUGAACACGAGGAACGCACGUGACUGCGACACUACACAGCAGAAGGGUCCCCAGCCUUAUCUGCCCACGGAAACCAAACCUCAUCAGAGGAGACGGAGACGCCUUCCCCAUGUUCACCAAGGAGGAACUCAUCGAGGAGGUAGAAAACAACGGGAAGUAUCUAGGCUCUGAAUUUUAGGACUCUGAGUUCUACACAACAAACACACAGGACAUGCAAGGUCAGAUACACCCUGACCAUAACAGUGGGGGACUUCAGUACCCCACUCUCAUCCUUAGGUGGGUCCUCCAGACCCUUCCAAAAUCAGCCAAGAAAUGUCAGAGCUAAAGUAUGCCACAGCUCAAGUGAUAGCCGCAGGGUAUCUCAGCCAAGUGACAGGAAACAAGUACUUCGCAGUGGCAGAUAAAAUCUCUAAAAUCAAAUUACAGGCCACAAAGCAAGCCUUAAUAAAAUUGAAAAACUUCCUAACAAAGCAUCAUACUAUACUGAACAGCAAAAGAAACACACAAACUAAGCCGACACCAGAGACUGAAGGAUGCACCGUCCUUAUUUAAUUGAUUUAUUUAAUUCUGAGGGUCAAACCCAGGGCUUUGUGUGGAAUAGGCAAGCACUCUACCAACAUCCACAGUCCCUGAAAAACAUACUUUUGAGUAAACAGCGAGCCACUGAAUAAAGCAGAGAGGGAAUUUUUAAAAUUCCUAGAAUCUACUGAAAAUGGCAGCGCAGCUCACUGGAAGCCUGGGCUACAGCUAAGGCGACAGGAAAGCUGCCAGAGAAAAACACAGGGCACACAGACACCGGCCAGACACCGGCCAGGACCUUUUAUAAGAGCUCAAAUAGCAUAGGAGAUAACUCCAAGAACUGACAAUGGAAUUACAUGAAAUUAGCAAGUUCCUGCACAGCCAAAGAAACCAUCAACAGAGUGAGCACACAACCACAGGAUGGAGGAAGUCUGGGCCAGCUGCACUUCAGAGCUAACAUUUAGAAUACAUAAAGAACUGCAAAAAUUAAAUACCCAAGCCGGAAACCUUCCAGUCAACAAAUGGGCUAAUAAACUGAAUUGAGAUUUCUGAAAAGAACAUAAACAGCUAAUAAUACCUUUAAAGCUCUUCAACGUUUUUAGCCACCAAAGAAAUGCAAAUAACAAAUUCUGGAGAGGAUGCCAGAAAAGAUAAACCACUGGUAGGAAUGUAAAACUGUGCAGCCACCGAGGAAGGAAACGGGUGUAAAGGUUGCUCAAAAGACUAAAAAUAAAAUUACCCUAAGACCUAGCUGUGGUACUCCUGGGCAUACACUCAAAGGAUUCCACAUCCUAUCAGACAGAUAUCUGCACACACAUGUUUACUGCCACACUAUUCACAAUUGUGAGGAAUGGAACCAUCUUAAAUAUCCAUUAACUAAAAUAGGCUAAAGAAAAUUAGGUACAUAGACACAACAGGAUUUUAUUCAGCCACAAACAAAAAUGAAAUCACAACAUUUGUAGGAAAAUGGAGCUGAAAAUUAUUAUAAUAAAGUAUGUCGAGCUCAGAAAUACAAUCUUCUCUGAACUGAAGCAUUCUAUCUCCCAGGACAACUUCUUAAGUCUUAAGAAGUGCUAAAGGAAGACACCUUAACAUCCAGGAAGCAGACAACUCACAAGUCCUAGGAAGUUCCUGAAACUUACCAGAUUCAGAAGUCCCCUCUUCCUUAUUUAAGUGGUAAGGACUGCUGAGGAGUGGAGACUCUGAUAUGAAGAGUUGUCUGCAGGUUAAGUAGACAGGUUUGGGACUUGAACUUUUAUGAGUCAUCAUGGUGUUGGGGUGAACUUUUUGUGAGGCAAAUGCCUUUGAGUCAUCCAUGCUACUGUAAGUAAACUUUCACCCAAAUUCUUGCAAAUAACCCAAAUAAACUCAGUGGUUCACCAA